UCCGCGAAGCGGUUUGUAGGUUACUCCACCGCCUGAGCAGGGUGGCAGAAUUCCAAAGAGUCUCCUUAAUCAUGCGCUCGACUCCCUUCUGGCUCCAUCGGAGCGUGCCUCCCUGCCUUUGAUGAGCAUUGGCAGCGGGGAGUGUACGAUAAUAGGAAUCCCUAGGAGGGUUGGUAGAAUAACAGAGAAAGUCAGCUGGGCCUGGCUUUCCAGGGAAUAUCCUGGAAAGAGUGUAAGCUGCCCAAGGGAGUCUGGUAUUCAGCCUGGCAAUGCAGGGACAUGUUGCUUACAUGAUAAACAAUAGUACUUAUGGGUAGACCCAUGGGAGCCUGAGGGAUGGACACACUCUGAGGUGGUGCAGAGAAGGCAACCAAAGUUUCUUGGGCUUUCUAGAGGUCCAGAUGUCUUGAAAACCAGAAAAGAUCCAAAUUUGAAAUGAUGGAGAUGCAAAAUGCAAGGCCCUCAAGAUCACAGGAAUGGCAGAACCUGGACAUCAUCAAGGGUGCCAGACGAUGCCCAGUAACCCAGCAGUGUCUUUGAGGACUAUACAAGAAGAUACUUUGUCACUGAUGGAAGCACCUGCCUCAGGCUCACUGGAACAAAAUCUGUGGCUUCUCUUGUUUGAUCUAAUUCCCGCUGAUCUUUCUGGUGUCUUCUGGUGCUGUUUGUACACCUUUGGCUCCUUAGGAUUCAGAAUCACCCUCAACACUGGAAAGCCUACAGCUAGCGGCCACACCUCAGCAAAAGUGAAGACUACUAGUUUCUGUUGCUUGUUCAUGAGAUCUUUUUCACCUCUUUUGUGAGCAUCAAAGAGAUUGAAAUGAUUUGGACUACCUUCAUUCUCAAAAGCAAUGCACGACUGUAGCUGUGAUAGAGACUGGAGGACCACAAAGAUAUUCACUACCUGCUCUUUUAUAGAAAGUUGGCAACUCUUACUUUAGAGAAUUCACUUGGAUGGUUAACUGACUUGGUACAUGAUGAAAACCCUUUGGAGAAGCCACUCUGCCUCUGCUCUUGCUCUUGGGGUGUUCCUGAGUGAUCUUAAGCAAACGUGCUUCUUAUCAAGGAAAACUGAAGAAUGGUCAUUCCAGUUUUGAAAAGCAAAGCAAAGCUACUGAUGCCACAGGACAUUCAUAAUAAUGACAGUGACAAGACCUAAAGCCUGAGUAACCCACAAAUCUCAAGUCAGCCUUCUCAUCAUCAAAAAUCUGUAAAAUACUUCCAAUUUGAAAAUUCUGGGAAUCCAGGUUUAGCUUUUGAAACUUUGGAAAAUCCUAUAACGUCUCUGUACAAUUAACCACAAAACAGGUCUAUUUACCUCAAUAGUUUGUUGCAAGAAUCAAAUGAAUAAAUGUGAGAGUGGUUU
rnacentral:lncRNA from 1 species